GACGAACGCUGGCGGCGUGCUUAACACAUGCAAGUCGAACGGAAAGGCCUUUUCGGAGGUACUCGAGUGGCGAACGGGUGCGUAACACGUGGGUGAUCUGCCCUGCACUCUGGGAUAAGCCUGGGAAACUGGGUCUAAUACCGGAUAGGACCGCACUUUAGUGUGUGUGGUGGAAAGUUUUUUCGGUGUAGGAUGAGCCCGCGGCCUAUCAGCUUGUUGGUGGGGUAAUGGCCUACCAAGGCGGCGACGGGUAGCCGGACUGAGAGGUUGGUCGGCCACAUUGGGACUGAGAUACGGCCCAGACUCCUACGGGAGGCAGCAGUGGGGAAGAUUGCACAAUGGGCGCAAGCCUGAUGCAGCGACGCCGCGUGGGGGAGGACGGCCUUCGGGUUGGAAACUCCUUUCGCCAGGGACGAAGCGUUUUGUGACGGUACCUGGAGAAGAAGCACCGGCUAACUACGUG
rnacentral:rRNA from 1 species